GUAUAGGGUAUAUGGCUAGCGUAUGGGUUUAGGGUUUGGGGUCAGGGUAUGGGGUUAGGAUAUGGUAUAUGGCUAGGGUAUUGGGUUAGAUAUAUUUUAUAUGGUUGGGGUAGGGGGUUAGGUUUAGAGUAUAUGGUUAGGGUAGGGGGUUAGGUUUAGGGCAUAUGGUUUAGGUGUUUAGUUGGGUCCCAGAAGAACUGCUCGUCUCAGCCUCUGUGUC